GAUGAACGCUGGCGGCAGGCUUAACACAUGCAAGUCGAACGGAUCCUUCGGGAUUAGUGGCAGACGGGUGAGUAACGCGUGGGAACGUACCCUUUGCUACGGAAUAACUCAGGGAAACUUGAGCUAAUACCGUAUGUGCCCUACGGGGGAAAGAUUUAUCGGCAAAGGAUCGGCCCGCGUUGGAUUAGCUAGUUGGUGGGGUAAUGGCCUACCAAGGCGACGAUCCAUAGCUGGUCUGAGAGGAUGAUCAGCCACACUGGGACUGAGACACGGCCCAGACUCCUACGGGAGGCAGCAGUGGGGAAUAUUGGACAAUGGGCGCAAGCCUGAUCCAGCCAUGCCGCGUGAGUGAUGAAGGUCUUAGGAUUGUAAAGCUCUUUCACCGGUGAAGAUAAUGACGGUAGCCGGAGAAGAAGCCCCGGCUAACUUCGUG
rnacentral:rRNA from 1 species